rnacentral:rRNA from 1 species
GACGAACGCUGGCGGCGUGCUUAACACAUGCAAGUCGAACGGAAAGGCCCUGCUUUUGUGGGGUGCUCGAGUGGCGAACGGGUGAGUAACACGUGAGUAACCUGCCCUUGACUUUGGGAUAACUUCAGGAAACUGGGGCUAAUACCGGAUAGGAGCUCCUGCUGCAUGGUGGGGGUUGGAAAGUUUCGGCGGUUGGGGAUGGACUCGCGGCUUAUCAGCUUGUUGGUGGGGUAGUGGCUUACCAAGGCUUUGACGGGUAGCCGGCCUGAGAGGGUGACCGGCCACAUUGGGACUGAGAUACGGCCCAGACUCCUACGGGAGGCAGCAGGCGGGAAUAUUGCGCAAUGGGCGGACGCCUGAUGCAGCAACGCCGCGUGCGGGAUGACGGCCUUCGGGUUGUAAACCGCUUUCGCCUGUGACGAAGCGUGAGUGACGGUAAUGGGUAAAGAAGCACCGGCUAACUACGUG